CCGGUGCAACUACAACAGGACUGUAUCCAUAGUUAAGUGUGACGGCAACUUUUUGCUAACCAAAGUCGUCGUCGGGUAAAAAACUAAAAAAAGUAAUGCCCAACAAUAUUAUCUAACCUAAAUAGAUAUUAAGCACUUAUCCGUUGUGAGCUGCGAUGCCUAAAAAGAAAUAAUAAACGAUAACAAAAAAAAAACAAGUAUACUUAUCUAUGAAGAAACUGUUCGUUCUGUUAUUUUAAAUCAGUUUGGUCUUUACGUUUUAAUAUUUGUCUCUACUCAUAAUAUUUUGGUAAUUACCUUCCUAAAUAUUUUACGAAAUUUAAGAAACAUCCGUAUAUUGCAGAAAGACCAUACUAUUAUGGUAUAUUAUUGCAAGUUACAAUGGUUAUAAUAUCUAUUAUCUAGGUACUAUGCAUGCCAAAUGUUAUAAAUGGAAAUAACUAUGUAUCAGCAAAGACGGGUAUUGGCGUGGAGAGCAGCCACCUGAAGUCUUAUUUUUUAAGGUGGACACCAAAACAUGGGCCAAAAAAGGCUCACCUAAAGUUUUUACCACCGAAAUGCUGGAUUUGGAAGCAUUAUCACAACAACGUUAUCACAUCCCAGAACUCAGGAAAUGCAUUAAUGUGUAUACUUUUCAAGUGAAGCAGUUGAAGGGGUGGUUGUUCAAAAAUAGUAGUUAUAUCAGUUAAAUAAGUCUGAGCACACCUAUGUGUAUAAGUGCUGUAUAUCACGGGUUUAUCCAACUGGUAACACUAUUGCUACUCUGCAAGAUGGCUGUCACGAUUUUCGUACCAUGCUGCAUGUGUUAAUUUUUAUCGACUCGGCCAAUUGUCCAAAUUGUUUAUGGAUCACAGUCUGUAUUAUAACAAAACAUUCUAAAAAAUUUAAUACAUAAGCCACACGGAUACAUACAUAUAUGCAGGAGGCGUUAAAUGAAGCUUCUAUAAAUAUUGAUAAACCAACAUUUUUUAGUUUUCCAAAUGAUUCUGCUAGAUGUGAUAUUUGGAUCAAAUCUUGAACAUUUGAUGACAUUAAAUGACUAUUUCUGCACAUAUGUCCAAUUCUCAAUGUUCAACACCUGUACCAUUUCUUUAGCUAUGUAAUGUAUCAGAGUCUGUUUUUGAAGUGAGAACUGAAACGGUUUCUUCAGGCGCUCAAACUCCGAAUUCUUUAUUUGCCCAAUAUUUCUACAGAAUCUUUAAUUGCAAAAAAAUCGAUGCUCUCUGCUCAAAUACAGAAGUUUGAAAAACAAUUGGCAAAGACAAGUGCAGUAGAUACUGCUGAUCUCAACCACGGGGCUGUCAAAAAAUAAGUUACAAUAAUUUUAUUAAUAUAAGUUAUGUAAGUAAAAAAUAAAAAUUAAUUAAGAGUAAGUUAGAGUUUAUCUUAAAUUAAAGUUAAAUUGAAAAAAUUAAAAAAUGUAAGGUAGUUUGAGAGGGUGGGUAACAGUGUUGCCAGGUUUUGAUAAUAAUAUUAUCGCAUACUGUCUUCAAAAUUAUCAUAUUUUUUAACAAAUUAUCGUACAUAAAAAUUUUUGUUUGUACCAUGAAAAUAAGAAAUUCACACAACACACAUUUUAAAAUAGGUAGGUAAGUCGGUAUUACUACUCUACUUUAGGCAUUUUGUUAUUAUUACUCUGAAUUUUUAACAACAAUUAAAUUCUUUCACCUUGAAAUCUUAAAUUU